rnacentral:misc_RNA from 1 species
GGCAGUAAAAGUCGUAACAAGGUUUCCGUAGGUGAACCUGCGGAAGGAUCAUUAUUGUAUAACCGAGGUGCGAGGGCUGUCGCUGACCCGAAAGGUCGUGCACGCCCGAGUGCCCUCACACACAUCCAUCUCACCCCUAUGUGCACCACCGCGUGGGUCCCCCUUUGGCUUGUUCGGAGGGGGGCUUACGUUUUCACACAAACUUUGUAUGCAGUGUAGAAUGUAUUUUUUGUUUUUGCGAUCACGCAAUCAAUACAUCUUUCAACAACGGAUCUCUUGGCUCUC